rnacentral:tRNA from 1 species
CAAAAAGUAGUUUAGUUGAGAAUUCUAGCUUUGGGAGUUAGCGGUAGGGGUUAAAAUCCCUUCUUUUUGA